rnacentral:rRNA from 1 species
UAGUAACGGCGAGUGAAGAGGGAAAAGCUCAAAUUUUGAAUCUGGUGUCUUUGGCGCCCGAGUUGUAAUCUAGAGAAGUGUUUUCUGCCUCGGACCACACAUAAAUUCCCUGGAAUGGGGUGUCAUAGAGGGUGAGAAUCCCGUUUGUGGUGUGGACUACCUUGGCUCUGUGAUACACUCUCAACGAGUCGAGUUGUUUGGGAAUGCAGCUCAAAAUGGGUGGUAAAUUCCAUCUAAAGCUAAAUAUUGGCGAGAGACCGAUAGCGAACAAGUACCGUGAGGGAAAGAUGAAAAGCACUUUGGAAAGAGAGUGAAACAGUACGUGAAAUUGUUGAAAGGGAAGCGUUUGAAGUCAGUCACAUCGGUCGGAAUUCAGCCUGGCUUUGCCUGGUGUACUUUUUGGCAGAUGGGUCAGCGUCAAUUUUGACUGAGGGAAAAAGACUUGAGGAAUGUGGCUGUCUUCGGGCAGUGUUAUAGCCUCUUGUUGUAUGUCUCAGUUGGGAUUGAGGACCGCAGCACGCCUUAUGGCCGGGGUUCGCGCCCUCGGAACAUGCUUAGGA